rnacentral:rRNA from 1 species
UACGUAGGGGGCAAGCGUUGUCCGGAAUCAUUGGGCGUAAAGAGCGUGUAGGCGGCUCGGUAAGUCCGCUGUGAAAGUCCAGGGCUCAACCCUGGAAUGCCGGUGGAACUGUCGAGCUAGAGUCCGGAAGAGGCGAGUGGAAUUCCUGGUGUAGGCGGUGAAAUGCGCAGAUAUCAGGAGGAACACCAAUGGCGAAGGCAGCUCGCUGGGACGGUACUGACGCUGAGACGCGAAGCGUGGGGGAGC